rnacentral:rRNA from 1 species
GACGAACGCUGGCGGCGUGCCUAAUACAUGCAAGUAGAACGCUGAAGGAGGAGCUUGCUUCUCCGGAUGAGUUGCGAACGGGUGAGUAACGCGUAGGUAACCUCCCUGGUAGCGGGGGAUAACUAUUGGAAACGAUAGCUAAUACCGCAUAAGAGUAGAUGUUGCAUGACAUUUGCUUAAAAGGUGCAAUUGCAUCACUACCAGAUGGACCUGCGUUGUAUUAGCUAGUUGGUGGGGUAACGGCUUACCAAGGCGACGAUACAUAGCCGACCUGAGAGGGUGAUCGGCCACACUGGGACUGAGACACGGCCCAGACUCCUACGGGAGGCAGCAGUAGGGAAUCUUCGGCAAUGGACGGAAGUCUGACCGAGCAACGCCGCGUGAGUGAAGAAGGUUUUCGGAUCGUAAAGCUCUGUUGUAAGAGAAGAACGAGUGUGAGAGUGGAAAGUUCACACUGUGACGGUAUCUUACCAGAAAGGGACGGCUAACUACGUG